GAAGAGACAGCAGUACAGUGCAUCCUCACUACCGUGUCUCCUCGCGAUAUUCCUCUUUUCGAUAAUGCUACCUCCUGUACAAAUACACAUUUACCAGAAAUUAAGAUUAAAAAGAAAUAAAGAUAUAUCUCUGAAAGAAUCUUUAAUAAAAAAGAUGACAUUAUAGCGAUAGUAAUACUUAUAUUUUAUGGCCGAUUCAAAUCUUACAAAUAAUUACACCUAGUACGAAUGGAGUAGUACCGGUAGAUGCCACGGCCAAGUGGCCAACACAGGGUAGGGUGGGCAGCUUUCGUGUCCCCGGAGUCGCCGUCGCCGUCGCCGUGGCCGAUGCCGCGGCGUCCACCGUAAUCCGGAUGGGUGUCACCGCGCA
rnacentral:lncRNA from 1 species